AGCAGCUCAAGAUUACUCUGUGGAACCAAGAAGUAUUAAUGGAAAAUGUUGAGCUGAUUCUUGAAGCUUUUGAUUACCUUCAGUUCCCAUUUGCUUUAAAGCAAGGUCAUGUUGGCAAGUUGAGUAUUAGGAUUCCAUGGAAAAAGCUUGGCUGGGAUCUUGUUAUAAUCAUCUUAGAGGAUGUAUUGAUCUGUGCCUCCCAACGAGAUGAAAAAGAG